GAUGAACGCUGGCGGCGUGCCUAAUACAUGCAAGUCGAGCGAACAGAUGAGGAGCUUGCUCCUCUGACGUUGGCGGCGGACGGGUGAGUAACACGUGGAUAACCUACCUAUAAGACUGGGAUAACUUCGGGAAACCGGAGCUAAUACCGGAUAAUAUAUUGAACCGCAUGGUUCAAUAGUGAAAGACGGUUUUGCUGUCACUUAUAGAUGGAUCCGCGCCGCAUUAGCUAGUUGGUAAGGUAACGGCUUACCAAGGCAACGAUGCGUAGCCGACCUGAGCGGGUGAUCGGCCACACUGGAACUGAGACACGGUCCAGACUCCUACGGGAGGCAGCAGUAGGGAAUCUUCCGCAAUGGGCGAAAGCCUGACGGAGCAACGCCGCGUGAGUGAUGAAGGUCUUCGGAUCGUAAAACUCUGUUAUUAGGGAAGAACAAAUGUGUAAGUAACUAUGCACGUCUUGACGGUACCUAAUCAGAAAGCCACGGCUAACUACGUG
rnacentral:rRNA from 1 species